rnacentral:rRNA from 1 species
CCUACGGGAGGCAGCAGUGAGGAAUAUUGGUCACUGGACGAGAGUCUGAACCAGCCAAGUAGCGUGAAGGAUGACUGCCCUAUGGGUUGUAAACUUCUUUUAUAAAGGAAUAAAACGAGGCACGUGUGCCUUUUUGCAUGUACUUUAUUAAUAAGCAUCGGCUAACUCCGUGCCAGCCGCCGCGGUAAUACGGAGGAUCCGGGCGUUAUCCGGAUUUAUUGGGUUUAAAGGGAGCGUAGAUGGGUUGUUAAGUCAGUUGUGAAAGUGUGCGGCUCAACCGUAAAAGUGCAAUUGAUACUGGCAGGCUUGAGUACAGUAGAGGUAGGCGGAAUGCGUGGUGUAGCGGUGAAAUGCUUAGAUAUCACGAAGAACCCCGAUUGCGAAGGCAGCUUACUAAACUGUGACUGACAUUGAUGCUCGAAAGUGUGGGUAUCAAACAGGAUUAGAUACCCCUGUAGUC